rnacentral:lncRNA from 1 species
AGUCCUAAUCCUGGGUUGAAAACUGGGGGACCUUGGAAAACCCAUACAUUGCCAUCCCCAUGUGAUGGCUGAAGGGCUCUGCAGAGACAAUUGCUUGCAGGGACUAUUCAAAAUGUGUCACUAUUGGGAGGGGCUGGAUCCUUGGCUCUUCAAGAGGACCUUUGGUGUUCUGUGAUACUCUACUUGGAUGGAAAUUAAGCUGAGCGAAAUCCAAUAGGUUUCCUCAUGAGCAAAGGAAAAUGUAACUGCUUUUAAGUCAUUGUUUUUUUUUUUUCCUGCCACUCUGGUAAUUUGAAAUACAUUUUUAAUAACCUCCUGAAAACAAUUUAAUAGUUCAGACAUAUUAUUCUUUGAUUUAAUAUCCCUGUGCAUUCUUUAAUUGCCAAAACAAAGUUUAUUUCAUUUUCUAAGGCUAACUUUAUACCUCCUAGGAAUUCUAAUGUCAUAGUCUUGUGUACGGUGUGUGUGUGUGUGUGUGUGUGUGUGUGUGUGUGUGUGUGUUUAUCAUCACCUUGGAUUUUGUUCAACAGGGAUGUAGAAAUGUAUAGCAUAUGUAUAGAAAUAGAUAUGAUAAAAUAUUCAAGAGCUUUCUGAAGCCUUGAAAAUAACCCCGUCUUUUAUGGAAUUUGUUUUGAUUUAGAUCUAUAGAUAGUAGAAAGAAUGAAAGAAACUGUGAAUUACACCGAAUAUAAGAUGUUUAUCACUUUAAUAUUACACUUCCUAGCUUCCACAUGACAGAGCUUUAGAAUGCUCCCCAAACUUUCCGGGGGGAAAAGCUCUGCCUGGUGCAGCCUGAGGUUUAUCUGGAAAGACCUGCCAGCACAUGCCAGCUAAAAAUGAGUGUCAAUUAAUAAUAAUAAAAGUGCUCCCUUAUUUCUACACUUGUGUAAUUUAACAGGUUUGGAGAGGAACACGGGAGCGCAGCAGUUGUGAGGACUUUGCAAUAUAUGCGGGUGUAACAGCUUUCCUUCGAAGAAGCCAAGCCUUCUUAAAAUAGAAUGGCUUAACAUUUCUUUUUUAUAUUAAAAGUCCAAUCUACACUUCACAUAAAAUGUUUUUUACCACAAAAAUAUUUGUCUCUAACAAAAUGCACUUUUUGUUCUACCAAAAAAGCAAACAUCUUGAAACAAAGUUCUCCCAGCUUCCAGCAGCUUCCCCAUCGCCAUUCUCUCCUUAGCUGCCCCUCCCCCACAGGGGAUGCUCUGAACACUGGAAUAAAAAUAAUCACUAUUGAAAGACUGAAUAUUCCAGAAUACCCUGUUUCCCAAUAUUGCUAACAAAAUUCAAUUCUCAAACUGCUCUCUGAUGGAACUAGGCAAACUGGGGGACUUACACAGAUAUUUCUAAGUGCAGUUUGUUGCUUUAAAAACAUAUUGUACUGAUUAAUAAAAAUGUGAAAUAAUUUGAGUUACAAAUUUUGAACUACAGAUCGCCAUCUGCUCAAAUGGGGGAAAACCAAAAAUUACUGAAUAUAUUUUCUCACCUCUCCUUUUUUUCAUGAUAACAUAAACAACAUUCCUGAAUAAUUAAAAAAAGAAACUGACUGCACUGACUGCAUUUUUAUAGUUCAACAAGUGCUUGGUGAGUCCACCUUCUCCAACGUGCAAUUAUGCUUUUCUUAAUUACUUGCAUAUGUUCUAUCAGAAGAGUGGUGUCCUGGAGGUUUCCUGUGUGCUGUGCAAAUCCUGUUAGCUCCUCGGGAAGGAACUGCACUCUCUGAGUUGAGAUGGCAAUGCAGACCACCACCAGGCAAUCACUCUUCAUCCUAGGUGAGUCUGUCAGAGCCCUGUGGCAACAAUCGAUGUCCUGUGGGCUGUGAGAGGAGAAGAGAGUUCACAAAAAAACAGGUUUUCGGGGGAAAAAAGUCAGCCCACCAGAUAGAUACAUAGUUAAAGAGGUUCGACAAACUAGGAGAGAAGAAAGUAGCUAAGUAAGUUGCCACCCAUGGGCUGUCAACAGCACUUGAUGGUCACACAUCCAGGACCGAGUGGAAUUCAUUACUCCACUAGUAGAACUGGGGAAUUAUCUACGAUUCACCAUGUUGCUGGCUUUCAAACAAUGAAGAUGGUAAGUCAGGAGCUAUCAGUGCAAGGCUUCCUAACAGGAGAGCCAGUAGACAUGUAAUGUGCAGCUUCAUAAAUACUGUCUCAGGCUGUGCAUGGCAUGAAACAACUGCACCCUGUCGCAAAAUGGUGUUGCUGGGGAUCAAACUCAGAGUCUAAAUGCAUGCUAGUCAAGGUCCCUACCACUGAGCUACAUCUCCAACCCCAGGAGCAGGUGAACCAUAGUCCUAAGAAUAAAGGAAUCCAUUUACAUUAAGCAAAAAACAGGAUCCUUCCUCUUUGUUUCUUUCUUUCUGACUGGCUGAGCUGGGGGUGGGGCAGGGAAAUGCCUUUGUUUGAUUGAUUGAUUGUUAGUUGUAGGGAGACACACACUGGCACAGUGAACCAAAAACCAACACUUGAUGGUUGUAGCUACAUCAGUCACACUGUGCCCGGGGGAGGAAGAGUGGCCUGAAGUGAUGUUGUCAUGCCUACCAUAUUUCAUGACCAGCUUCAGUUAAGGUAAAAUUUAGGGUGUGAACCCCCAGAUCUUUGGAAGAAUGCCUACAUGGUUCAUGUCCACUGAAGAUCAGAACCCAGGGGAGGAAUGCAUGUGUAUUGGGCUACAAAAUGAGUCAGACUUGUUUUAGAAAACACCCAAAUCCAGGGGCACUGUUGGGAAAUAAUGUGCAGGGUUUGGCUGAGUUGGACAAUGUGAGACAGACUCUCAAGGAAGGGAGAGAUGCCCCAGAAGUGUGUAGCAGCAGAGAUGCUUUCAGAUAGACCCCAGAUAUCAGCCUUCACUGUCUGGCUGAGCUACAGGCAAAAGGAAACACCUCCGUGUUUCAGAGAAUGGUUGGUAGGUGACAAGCUCUUUAGAAAAAUGAAACCUGGGGCAUAUAAAGUUUGUAAGACCUAGGGGCCUCUCUUCCCAAUGAUGGCUGACUAGGCCAUCUUCUGAAGUGGGAGUGGGUGGGUAGGGGAGCAGGGUGGGGGAAGGGUAUAGGGAACUUUCGGGAUAGCAUUUGAAAUGUAAAUAAAGAAAAUAUCUAAUAAAAUAAAUUUUAAAAAAGGAAAUCUAAAAGG